GACAGAUUCAUGAAUAAACAAUUAAAACACACAACAAGUUUCCUGCCACGGGACUAAUGAUAAUGGAGCAAUGUGUAAUCCUGCAUGGAGUCAUAUAGUCCGUAUUGAAAAAUAAUUACAACCUUCACAUUUGUGUUCAAUCCAUACUCAAGUGCAAGUGGUAAACGGAAAUUGUCCAAAAAUGUUACUUUUGAUGCCUAUCAGAGGUGUAAAUAAUAAGUCCUUAGGUAAAGAGCACCGAAGCAUCUUUGCACCAGUAACUUAGGUCAAGAAGUUUAAUCCCAGUAUGUUCAGAAACUGAAAUGAAAAUCAAAUCUAAAUGGUUCUGCAGCUCUGACAAAUCUCUCAGGUGACCAUACCACCAAAUAUUGGAGCCUAAGUGCCAGAAAUUCAGAAAA